UUUGGGACUGGUUGUGUGUGGUGUGGUUCUUGGACUUGGCCAUGUCUACAUCAUAACCUGUGGCUCCAGAAGCUCUUGGGACCAGAAGAGAAAGAACCAAAAAGUGAAUUUUAUUUUAAAAAAAUGUUUUGAGACAGGGUCUCAUUCUGAUGCCCAGGUUGGGGUGCAGUGGCACAAUCAUGGCUCACUGCAGCCUCAACCUAGCCAUCCUCCUGCCUCAGCCUCCUGAGUAGCUGGGACUGCAGAAGUGCACUACCAUGCCCAGCUAAUUUUUGAAAUUUUCUGCAGAGACAAGGUCUCACUAUGUUGCCCAGGCUGGUCUCAAACUCUUGAGCUUAAGUGUUCCUCCUACCUCGGCCUCCCAAAGUACUGGGAUUAUAGGUGUGAACCACCAUACCCAGGCUCAAAAAGUGAAUUUAAAAAUAAGUAACUGCUAGAUAGUAUUAAAAUAUUAUCAUUUGGAACAAGUGAAAAAUAUUUUCACGUAGCCAGGCUGAGUUCCAGAAUGAAUUUAGUUUAAUUGCUUUGCUUAAUUUUUUUUGAGACAGAGUCUCACUCUGUUGCCCAGGCUGGAGUGCAGUGGCGCGAUCUUGGCUCACUGCAACCUCUGCCUCCUGAAUUCCAGCGAUUCUCUUGCCUCAGCCUCCUGAGUAUCUAGGAUCACAGACGCCUGCCACUAUGUCUGGCUAAUUUUUGUAUGUUUUUCAGAGACAAGGUUUCGCCAUGUUGCCUAGGCUGGUCUCUAACCCCUGAGCUCCGGUGAUUCACCCGCCUCAGCUUCCCAAAGUGCUGGGAUUACAGACAUGAGCCACUGUGCCGGCCUGUUUUGCUUAAUAUUGAUUGCUUUUAGUUUCAGCUUUCAAUCACAAAAGACAAUCAUGCAGUAGAUAAUUAAGUGUAAUAUGGAUUACUUUGAAACUUAGCAAUGAGAGUCUUUUUUUUUCUUUUUAUACAAAAUUCCUCUAAAAUGGGAAUAUUUUUCACAUAAAAUAAAGGGAAACUUAGAAAAUGUGUCUAAGUAUAAUGGAAGCAUUCAAAUGUUUGUUUUAAGCUUUCUAAUACAUUUAUUUGUACAGAUCAAGACUUACUAAUAUGCUAAAAAGGAACAGUUAAAAUAAACUAUUGUACAUUCUUAAAAUGGUCUACUGUGCAGCUGUUUACAAGAAUGCAGUAAAUUUAUAUAUACUCAUGUGGGACAGCCAUCCAGCUAUCUCAUGAUUAAAAAAGGAAUGUGUAAAACACUAUGUAUGGCAUGCACAUAUUCCAGAACAGUGUUCUUAAAUGGAUAUCUUAGUCUGUUUUCUGUUGCUUUUAACAGAGUACCUGAAACUGGGUAUUUUAUAAAGAAACAAAAUGUAUUUCUUACAGUUUGGAGGCUGAGAAGGCCAAGGUUGAAGGGCUGAAUCUGGUGAGGGUCUUCUUGCUAGAGGGGACUCCGCAGAGGCUGGAGGUGGCACAGAGCAUCAGGUGGUGAGGAGGCUGAGAGUGCUAGCUCAGGUCGCUCUUCCUUUUCUUAUAAAGCUACUCACAUAACUCAUUAAUCCAUUAACCCAUGACUCUAUUAAUCCAUGAAUGGAUUAAUCCAUUCAUGAAGGCAGAGAAUUCAUGAGUCAAUCACCUCUUAAAGGUCCACCUCUCAGCAGGGCGUGGUGGCUCCUGCCUGUAAUCCCAGC
rnacentral:lncRNA from 10 species